rnacentral:tRNA from 1 species
GUCCUCAUAGUUAAAUGGAUAUAACGGGCCCCUCCUAAGGGCCAGUUCCAGGUUCGAUUCCUGGUGGGGGCGCCA